UUAAUUGGUAGCUCCUAAAUUUCUUCGCCACUUAUGGAUCCAACUCUAAAAAAAUUCCAGUGAUGGAAUGUGAAAUUGCAAAGAUACAAUGGAGUGCAAUCUUUUUUCAUCUUUUGAAGAAAGACAACCACAGAUUGAAACAUUUGGUCUUUAAGAGGCAGAAUGAGCUUAAAGAAUUUUACAGAGGAGUUCAAAUGGAUUUCGAUAGUGAAUCUGCAAGACAAAUCUUGACUAGUUUCAUUGAAUGUGGUACAAAUCUUGACUAGUUUUACAGAGNUAUUGUGUUUUGAAAAGUUAAUUGAUUUUUUCUAACCAUAGUUGUUCCAAACAGUGUACAUACUACAGGAAAAGCGCGAUUUAUCUACGACAUAUUACCGAAGGCCUUGAGGCCGUGGGUAAUGUUAUGCUUACCGAAGGCUUUUGAGCCGUCGGUAAGUUCCUUCCUGAUUUAAAACCUCAGUUGGGGUUUUCGUUCCCCAAUUUCACUUUCUUCAGCCUUCGUCGAGUUCGUCGUUUCCUUCAAACAAUUCCCUCCCUUUUCACGUCCCGCCUUUUCUUCACCCUCUCUCACUUUCUCGGAUAGUCCUGGUGGUGGUCAUUCUCGAAUAGGGUUCCUUCACGGUGCGUUCUGGUUUGGGAGUCUUGGGCUAGGGUUCGAGUGGUUACUGCGUUGAGGGCUGGUGGUGUCGAGGGUGAGUCUCCCGUGGAGGUGUGGUCGUUGGUGACGUGGUGUUUCCGGCAGGGUGGUGGGUCGUGGUAUAGCGUUUGUGGCAGUGGCGGUGCAUCAUCGUGGUCGUGGUCUGCAAAGGUUUCCAUCAUCGUGCUUUUUGUUUUCGAGGUAAUUUUUAUUUUCAAAAUUGAAUUUUCUUGGAGUAGAAAUUGUACUUGAUGGUGUUUGAUGUUGUUUUUGAUGUUGUUUUGUCUCUGUGACGGUGUGUGUGCUAUAGAAUUUGUGUCUCUGUGUUGUAUCUCUUUAUUACCAUUUCCAUCUUAUUUCUGAUUUCAUCGUGGUGACUAUUUAUGGCUUAUAAUUUAAAGAAUGGCUACAUUUUUUGAUAUCGUUGAAUGAAUCUUCUGUUCCAAAACUUGGAGGAUUUAGUCUUCUGCUUUUUUUAAAAGUGAACUUUACAUUAAUAUAUUUUUUGACAUAGUUAUGUGGCAUUUUUUGCAGUCGUAAACUUAACCCUCAUAGAUCUUCCUGGGCUGACAAAGGUUG